GGCGACCCAUGGCGGUGGAAUCAAUCGAAAAAUGUAUUAUUUGUAGCGAACCUUUAGUAGAAUUAACGCAAUGCCGAAAUGUGUCAUCUUCCCAGCGAAGUGUAUAUUUUGUAAGAAGGAUAAGUAUAGUUCUGGUUCUAGAACAAGAGAGAAGCCCCAUAUAGUGUGCAGGAAUUUCGAGCGGAUGAUAAAGUAAGGAAAUGUGCAUCACUUCAUUUAGAACAGCAUACCAGCCAGAGUUCCACAGCCACGGAGAUAAUAUGGAUUUGCUCAAAAGACCUGAUUAGUAGCGAAGCCAAAUACCAUUCUACAUUUUACAAUACUUUCGUGAGUAUUAUGUACACUAGUGCUAGAGCAAAUGCCGGUACUUCGGAGGGGGAUAACACAGAAGGCGUCUGAUAGAUGUAGUAGUGAUGAAGCAGUGUUUUCCUUUUGUGAGACCUUGAUCUCAAAACCCAGAGUAAUAGAGUUAAAGGAAAUAAGUCAGAUAAUGACAAAGGAAGCAGAACAAGUGGGCGUGACCAUGUUACAGUCACAAAACAAAAACCUCUUGCGCGUUAUAUACAACAAGUUUAAAGAGCUUGAAUUUAUUAAUUAUCAGCAUAAUAAAAUUCUUGUUUACCCCUCUACAAUUAAAAUAGAGGACGUCGUUGUCGGCAAUUUUGAGCUUACAUGCGAUCUGACAUCAGCAAAUCUCGCAAGUGAUGGCAAUGACAGAAGGUGAUUAGUGUAGCAAAGCUACUUAAUGAAAACAAAUAAUAAUAAAAGUCACCCAGUGGCAUUGUCCUGGCCGCCAGAGGGAAAAGAACUCAUGCCAGAAAAGGUUGAUGAUUUCAUCCCAGAUCUCCUAGAUACAUUUUGCUCAGUGCUUAUUUUUGGCCAAUCCUUAGACAGGGAAAAGAGUAGGUCGAUCAUAACAAUAAGAACUAACUAAGAACUAACCCAAGACAUCGUAUAUUCCGCAUUCAAUGCGCCAUCAAAACUCCUAAAAGUGUUCUGUUUCUGUCUGUUGUAAAGGCACUUUGCAAAAACACCGACAUUGUUAAAAUGAUCCAUAAAUGCGGAUAUGGAAUUAGCUAUAACCUUGUAGAAGAAGUCGAUACCGUUUUUGCUUUAAAGGUUAUCAAUGAACAAGCCCUGAAUCGAGUACUUAUCCCGGACAAGUGUAAUCGUCCUGAAAACAGGCCCGAUGUUGCGCUGAUAGUAGCGGAAAACAUCGAUAACCUCGAGUGUACUGCCACCAGGGCAGGGACUUCGCAUAGAGUGAACUCCAUUCUAGUUCUAAAGCACAGCAUAGAGGGAGGUCACGAUGAUGAGAUCGUUGAACAGGAGGUCUUGCAGCAGCCUCCAGUAAAGCGACAAUGUCAACUGUCGCUGGGCGCAGAAUUAGUAUGGAAGGACAUACCAGAGUAUUAUGGAGGUAGACGGAUUGGACCGGGCGUGUUGUCUCACGAGCAGUACGUGGGUGUUCGUUCCUCGUAUGCAAGCUCUGAAUGAUGAAUCUAGUGUGGAUUGAGCUAAGAAAACUCAUAACCCACCCUCUUCUGCUUGUACCAGGCUGGACGGGAUUCAAUAUCAAGGUCAGGGACAACGUAGCGCUUCGGGGACGGUGGACUGCGUGACAUUGCAGUACAAGUAAAGUGGUCGCCGAGGAUCUAUAGACAGUGUGCGAACUGGCAAACAUUAUAACAGGGCUGUCCGACUCCAUAAGAUUGUGUACGAAGCGAUUAGUAGACUACUUUUGGAUGACUUUAAAUCCUGCCUCAACGAAGAUAAAUUAGAAAUGCUGAAUCAGCAUAAGAUCGAACUGGAACAGCUUUAGUUAAAACUUAGCCAAGAAGAGCUAGAGCGAGUUUUAGAGUGGAAACGAUUCGAGCACUGGGAAAUCGGGUUUGAAGCACAUAUUUCCAACACGAAGGAAAACGGCAGUGACCUCUCAAGAUUCUGGUUAACGUACCUCGAACUAUGCCAACUUCUGUUAAACCUAAUCUAUUCUACUCGAACCGGAAGCUGGGAAGUCUAUCUUGCUUGCAUUGAAGAUGUUAUUCAAUUGACUUUUGCGUAUGACAGACAGAACUACUUAGUUCCAUACCUCAAUGACAUGUGUUCAUUACCCGACUCUUAUCCUGAUGUAUAUGCUGCCUUCGCAGAUAACCAAGAACCCUUUCGUACAAAACGAGGCCGACAAGACGAUUGAAAAUACCAUCAACUGGGACUGCAAAACCGGGAGUGGUUAUAUAAGCUUCAGUUCAAAUUUUGCAGCGACGCAAGGAUGGGUAAUGAACAAUUCAAGGCGUUGCGUAUUUUCCGAGAGCAUUUGUCUCUAGCGCCCAGUGAAGCUAAGUCACACAAAGAGCUCGUUCCAUCUCGAAUCAAGAUGGACAGUGAGGCAGUAUGUAAUGUUGUUGACGGGUUAGAGAAUCUAUUCUGCAGUCCUUUGACCAAAGACGUGCAUUAACCAGUCUGUCCGCUGGUUUAGCAGCAACUCCCGUGAUAUAAGAUGAUCUUCUUCGGGCGAAAACCAAGGGCCAGAAUGCAUGCAGAGAUUUUAUAGUAAAGAGGUGUUCUUCUUCUGCUUCCCUCGACUUUUUUGACCCGCUCAAGAAGCUUAAACUGAAGUCAUUCAAAGAUCUCAAGAAAGUCACUAAGGUUUCUUCAAAGAACGCAGUGAUCCCGAUGCAAUUAGAUCGCGCUGUAUUCGUCAGGAUGGCACUAAUAGGCCAGUUUCGAAAGAUAGACUUGCGAACUGUGUUCAUGUACCCUCUUGGACCACUAUCGUAGGCACUGGCAGACGAGUAUGGUUUUCCACGUAAGACAAAGAAGGCCGCACUUGCACAACACCUAGAGAAACAAGUAACGAUCAUCAGCGACUUUCCUGCCAACAGCACAAGUAUCUAUGACGGAAUGGCGGUUCUGCAAAGGUUUAAGCCUUUUCCCAGUGCUACGUUCGCUGUUGUAGCAGAGAGAGUGUUUGACCCAAUUACAUCUAAUUCCAGUAAGCGCAUUGACAUGGUGUUUGACGUCUACAGAAAGAUUGAAAUCAAUAACGUAGAGAGAAUGAUGCGUGCGUCGGGGCCAGAAGGCGUAACUUUUACCAGGUUAUGGCGUAAAAAACUGGAGCAAAAUCUUGUGUGUUUCCUCUAACAGAACAGCUGUGAUCCAAUUUUUAGUGGCUGAAUGGAAAGAAGAGAAAUUCAGAGACAAACUUGGCGACAAGACGAUGUAUGCUACACUAGAAGAGAAGUGCUGGAAGAUCACCAACACAGCAGCAACCCUUGUGCCUGGGUUACUAUACAGUCAAGAGGAAGCUGAUACCCGAAUGGUAUUACACGCCCAGCAUGCGGGUGGGAAGUGCGUCAUCCUUUCCGACGACACAGACCUGCUUGUAAUGCUCCUUGGACACGCCCACAACCUGAGUAAAUGCUAUCUAAAGAAAGGCAGAGGGGAAAAGAGUAAAAUCAUUGAACUGUCCGAAGUUUCAGACAAGGUAGGAAGGCGGACCGCUCCAGGUGUCUCCAAGGAAAAAGUUCUACAAGGUCUCAUCGGUCUACACGCCGUGACGGGCUGCGAUACCGUCUCCACCUUCUCAUCCAAGGGCAAAUGGCGCCCACUACAAGAGUUACGCCAAUGCUAUGUGCGAUAUCGGAAAGGAAUAGAAGGUACCCGAGGCGACGUUCAGAGUGACCCAAGAGCUAGUGUGUCAGCUCUAUGGGAAGAAGUGCCAAAGUGUCGAUGCUCUACAGUACGAGUUGCAUUGUAUUAAAGGCGGCAAGGUUGAACCAGAGUUGCUCCCACCCUGCCAAUCGUCACUGCGCCUUCAUGUGGCGCGUGCAAAUUACCAGGCGGCCAUAUGGAGGAGAGCAACGGAGGCGUGUCCCGAAGUCCCUUCACCUCACGGUCAUGGCUGGAAACUAACAGAGGGCACUUUGGAGUUUGAAUGGCUCGGCUCUAAGCCCGCACCUGAAGAGGUUUUAGAGCUGAUGAUGUGCACGUGCAAACGAAAGUGCAAAACAGAAACGUGCUGCUGCGUCAAAGCAGGGCUUAAGUGCACAGAGGGCUCAAGUGCAUGCGACAACAUGACCAAUGAAGAAGAGGAUGGUGUGGUCAGAUAGCGACAACGAGUUUGACGACUAGGCUUUUAAAAAUAUCAGUUUCUAGCGAUGCCGACUCUGGUGAAUGACUGGUGAAUGCCUCUAGUGAACGACUCUGGUGAAGGACUCUCGUGAAUGACUCUGGUGGAUGAGCGGUGAAUGACUCUAUGAGUUGAAACUAAGGAAUUCCGUAGCGUUGCAGCUAGGCCUGUCAACAGACGAAAUCGAGAGUGUGUCGGAUAGCGACGCGGACAAACUUGACGACUAGGCUUUUCCAAAUGGAUUUACCAG